rnacentral:rRNA from 1 species
ACUACGGGAGGCAGCAGUGGGGAAUAUUGGGCAAUGGGCGAAAGCCUGACCCAGCAACGCCGCGUGAAGGAAGAAGGCUUUCGGGUUGUAAACUUCUUUUGACAGGGAAGAGCAGAAGACGGUACCUGUCGAAUAAGCCACGGCUAACUACGUGCCAGCAGCCGCGGUAAUACGUAGGUGGCAAGCGUUGUCCGGAUUUACUGGGUGUAAAGGGCGUGUAGCCGGGCUGACAAGUCAGAUGUGAAAUCCGGGGGCUCAACCCACGAACUGCAUUUGAAACUGUUGGUCUUGAGUAUCGGAGAGGCAGGCGGAAUUCCUAGUGUAGCGGUGAAAGGCGUAGAUAUUAGGAGGAACACCAGUGGCGAAGGCGGCCUGCUGGACGACAACUGACGGUGAGGCGCGAAAGCGUGGGGAGCAAACAGGAUUAGAUACCCCUGUAGUC